GCCCGCCUAGCUCAAUCGGAUAGAGCGUCAGACUCUUAUGAGUUGCGGGUGCAGAAUUGCUUCACGUAAUCUGAAGGCUGCGAGUUCGACCCUCGCGGUGGGCU
rfam:Piloderma croceum F 1598 unplaced genomic scaffold scaffold_00016, whole genome shotgun sequence.